UACAGAGGGUGCGAGCGUUAAUCGGAAUUACUGGGCGUAAAGAGCGCGCAGGCGGUCGUACAAGUCGCGUGUGAAAGCCCCCGGCUCAACUGGGGAGGGUCACGCGAUACUGUUCGACUCGAAGGCAGGAGAGGGUAGUGGAAUUCCCGGUGUAGUGGUGAAAUGCGUAGAUAUCGGGAGGAACACCAGUGGCGAAGGCGACUACCUGGCCUGUUCUUGACGCUGAGGCGCGAAAGCUAGGGUAGCAAACGGG
rnacentral:rRNA from 1 species